rnacentral:rRNA from 1 species
CCUACGGUGUGCAGCAGUAGGGAAUAUUGCUCAAUGGGGGCAACCCUGAACCAGCCACGCCGCGUGAAGGAUGACGGUUCUCGGAUUGUAAACCUCUUUUUUUAAAGAAGUUAAUGGAGGUAUGUAACGAAUUAGCACCGGCUAUCUCCGUGCCAGCAGCCGCGGUAAUACGGAGGGUGCAAGCGUUACUCGGAUUCACUGGGCGUAAAGGGAGCGUAGGCGGGAUAGCAAGUCAGAUGUGAAAUCCUAUGGCUUAACCGUAGAACUGCAUUUGAGACUGUUAGUCUAGAGUAUAGGUGAGGUAGGUGGAAUUCUUGGUGUAGCGGUAAAAUGCGUAGAGAUCAAGAGGAAUACUGAUUGCGAAGGCGACCUGCUAGAAUAUAACUGACGUUGAUGCGCGAAAGCGUGGGGAGCAAACAGGAUUAGAUACCCUUGUAGUC